rnacentral:ncRNA from 1 species
CUGCGCCGUAUGCGGGGAAACUCGUGCCUACGGUUCGUGGAGCGGGCUAUAGUCUGAAGUCUAUGGUUCUACCCUCCAU